CAAAUAAAUAAAAUGAUUUACAAAUCACGUUUUCUAUUAUUUGCUGAUUGAUUUGUGGGCUUAUUUUUUAAACUCACUAGCCCAUCUAUUACAUCAGCUUAUACAUUUGAUUAAAGCGUAAACCUAUCUUAAUAAACCAUAAAACUGGCCCUAAAAAGCCUACAAGUCGUCAGCUCUUCGUCUUCGACUGAGACCUAUGGUUUUCCCAAUCCUGCGCCUCCCCUCCAAUACACAGACGCUACUGUCUAAACUUCUCCAAUCAAAUCCAUGGAACUCUUAGUCUCUCUCUAUCUCUUCAUCUCCCCCUCUUUACGCACACCAUCAAAAACGCUAGCGUCUCAUAACUGAUACGAACGGCUUCGCUAUAUAUAGGCCAUGCUAGAUCCAGGAGUCCAACCUCUCAUAUCUACCAGCACUGUUUUUUUUUCAAUUGUUGAGCAUGUCUGUCUCUGAUGCUAUUGUCGUCCUCCCCACCAC
rnacentral:lncRNA from 1 species